GUGAACUUCUCUAAUCACAAAAUCUCAAAAGAAAAAAAAAAUAAAUCUAAAACAGAAAUCUGAAAGAUUGAAAAAAAUGUUGAAGUUUUUUUGUGUAGUCUCUUGUAUUUUGGCUACAUGGGCAAUGGUGGUCUCAGGUCAUGGUCAUAUUCAUACCAGCGCACCCGUACAAUCACCAACAGAGGCUCCCGGGCCAGUAGGCGCACCUACCGUGGAUUGCAUGAGUCUUAUUUAUGACAUGGCGGAUUGCUUAGCAUAUUUGAGUGUCGACGGGGGCGAAGAUAAGCCUGACAAAUCUUGUUGUUCUGGAUUCGAAACAAUUCUAAACACUGAUUCAAAUUGUAUAUGUAUAGCCCUAAAGAGUAGUGCCAGUUUGGGUAUUGAGAUUAAUAUGACUAGUGCCAUGGCUUUGCCUUCUGCUUGUGGCGUCCAUGCCACACUUAACUGCGACAGUGCGUCUCUCUCUAAACCUAUAUAUAUUCUUUAAUUUAGUUAUUUAUUAUAACAAACAUGUUUGUUAAGCAAGUUUGUUUAUUAUAUUGAUAGCUUUUUUCCCUUUCCUGCAGUGUCCAUAUCUCCGAGUACAUCUCCCGGUACGUCUUUAUGUUUAUAACGAGUUUUCAUUCUUCGGCCUUCAAUGCAGGCAGGUAGUAGCUGCUGGAAUAAGCUUUUAACAAGACAGAUAACUUAAAAGUGUAGCAUAUAAACUUAUAUUUAAAGAAAAUCAUUUGUAUGCACGAAACAAUGUGUUCUUGUUAUGUGUUGAAACAAAAUUUAAUGAAUAAACACGGCCACGCUAUAUUAGACUAGAUUGAUCAUAAUUUUCAUGUAGUGAUGAUUAUGCAAAUUCCAUAACUACUAGUUUGCCUCUUGCAGUUAAUCCUCCAACUCCUACAUCUCCGAAUCCUCCCGCCACCGCACCAACACCAACUACAGAAACGACUCCAGCACCGACAGCCCACUCCGUUCCUAUUGGAGGACCAGCUCCAUCUCCGACACUAGCAAGCUCUGAAAGUUAUAACAUAUGUGCUACAACAUUAUCAACCCUUUUUAUUGUAGCUCUUUUUGUCUCGUUUUUUAAUGUGUUGAUCUAAGCUUUAGUGUUUAGCUCUCGAUUAUUUUUUCAGUUGAUUUUCCUAUUCUAGUAUUUCUGUUAGGUUCUUGAAAACCUUAAUUUUUGUUUUGGCUAGUUAAGAAUAAUGUUGAGUUUGUUUAGUAUUAGUUUCUUUUUAUGAUUUUUAUAUGGAUUAACAAUUUUUAUGUAAUAAUAAAAUUAUUUCUCUG
rnacentral:lncRNA from 1 species